rnacentral:rRNA from 1 species
GCUCGGGGGGGAGUAUGGUCGCAAGGCUGAAACUUAAAGAAAUUGACGGAAGGGCACCACAAGGCGUGGAGCCUGCGGCUUAAUUUGACCCAACACGGGGAAACUCACCAGGUCCAGACAUGCUUAGGAUUGACAGAUUGAUAGCUCUUUCUUGAUUGUAUGGGUGGUGGUGCAUGGCCGUUUUUAGUUGGUGGAGUGAUUUGUCUGCUUAAUUGCGAUAACGAACGAGACCUUAACCUGCUAAAUAGCCAGGCCCGCUUUGGCGGGUCGCCGGCUUCUUAGAGGGACUAUCGGCUCAAGCCGAUGGAAGUUUGAGGCAAUAACAGGUCUGUGAUGCCCUUAGAUGUCCGGGGCUGCACGCGCGCUACACUGACUGGCUCAGCGUGUGCCUACCCUACGCCGGCAGGCGCGGGUAACCCGUUGAACCCCAUUCGUGAUGGGGAUCGGGGAUUGCAAUUAUUCCCCAUGAACGAGGAAUUCCCAGUAAGUGCGGGUCAUAAGCUUGCGUUGAUUAAGUCCCUGCCCUUUGUACACACCGCCCGUCGCUCCUACCGAUUGAAUGGUCCGGUGAAGUGUUCGGAUCGCG